ACUGUUUUGAUUUUGGGAGAAAUGGCUAAUACAUGUGUUAAUGGCACGUUGCGUAAUUUGUUUAAACUUCGAGUGCUAUUGCUCUCAUCAGGUUUAGAUGGGCUAACAGCCCGUUAAUAUGUUUGGCCGCACGGGCUUCCGGAGUAUAGAGCCUGCUCUUGAUAAAUAUAUGUGAUUAUUUGUAGUUAUUGGUAAAAAGCUCAAUUUUUUUUCCCUCUACAGCCUCAAUUCUCUCUCUCUCUCUCUCUCGCCCAAGCUCUGAGUCAUAUAUGCUGUCUCGACUACCGCAGACGUCGACAGAGACCCAGAUACAGCCAAGCACGCCUAGAAGGGUCAAAUUUCCGCAACCGGAGUUUUCUCGGAGCUUCAAAUCGUCGCCGGCUGCUUCUACAGCACACCAUGGUGGCCGUGGGAGUCGUAAGCGGAGCAAAAAGAGGCUCUCCGGUGCGGACUUUCUUGAUCUCGAAGCGGUGGUCAAUUCGGAUGAGGAGGAGGAGGAGGAUGAGGGCGAGGACGGUACACUUUGGCUAGUGCUUCUACUAAUCUCGUUUGAUUUGGAAUUGUGUAUUUGUUGAUUUUUGUUCUUGGAUUUAGGGCAUCAUCUUCUUCUAACAACCGACCUCCUGUUCAGCAGAAGUCCAACCCCCUCAAUUUCUAGGGUUUGGCGCAUUUAGGAAUCUGAUGAAAUUCUCUUCGUUUCUGAAUUGUUUUUAGAUUGAAAAAUUUGAUCUUUUCAGGUUCUAUGGUGGCUACGUUCAUCUGCCCUUUGGAUGUCAUCAAGACCAGGUUCUAGGUCCACGGCAUGCUAACUGGUCAAAGAGAGGAUGGUGGCAAACUCUCAAUUGGUGAAAAUAUGAUAGCUGCUGCUGGGGCUGCAACAGCUAUUUCAACAAAUCCAUUGUGGGUUGUUAAGACAAGACUGCAAUCUCACUGAAGAACCUAAACCAGGCCUUUAACUGGAAAUGGGUGGGAUUUCAGAGGUCAAAGUUAAUCCAAUAUCAGUCUAAGAUGGAUGCACUGGCCAAGCAGACUCCGGUGGAUCAAAUUACACAACAGUUGAAAUCUGGAAUAUCAGAGUUUGGAAACAAUGAGAACGUGUCAUCAGCACCUCAGGAUCCAGACCACAUAUCCUCUGCAUAUCAAGUUGACAAGGAGGGGCGGGACAUGUAUGUUAUGGUGAGCUGCUUGAUGGGAAUUCUGGAAGUUUACUUAGUAAUGAGUAUGUGGUUUUGUCAAGUGAAUUUAAUUUAACACUUUCCAAAACCUGAAGAAUUUUUACUUAAUGCCCUUGAUUUUGAUAAUGUUGAUAGUUUGGCCAUUUCUUCGACAUCUAAUGAAGGUGCUGUAGUGUUGGCAUGGGUUG